AGUAAAUUGGUUAAGUUAGAAAGGGCGCACGGUGGAUGCCUUGGCACUAGGAGCCGAAGAAGGACGGGACUAACACCGAUAUGCUUUGGGGAGCUGUACGUAAGCGUUGAUCCAGAGAUUUCCGAAUGGGGGAACCCACUAUCUUUAGUCGGAUAGUAUCCUUACGUGAAUACAUAGCGUGAGGAAGGCAGACCCAGGGAACU
rnacentral:rRNA from 1 species